CAGAUACCCUUUAGAACUAAGCAAAUCAUAAGGAGAACAGGUGUUUAGAAUAGUUACAUAAUUUCUUUAAAGAACUAGUAAGAACCAUGCUUAACCCACAUUCAACACACAGAUCAAGAAACAAAACACACUAAACUAGAAUUGAGAAUCAUGGCCAAACAAAUUUAAAUUGUAUGUAUGUGAGCCUCAUUUGAGGGGUCACAAUCUUGAUAAAACACAUGGUAUAAACCAAAGCUAUACUUGUCUAACCCAUAUUAAAGCAAAAAACAAGUAAAAGUCAACAAGAUACAAUAAAACAACCAAUUGUAGGGACCAUAAAUAAACAGUAUGUCACCUAAUUUCAUGGUGCAGCCAGGUAAAGAUUCAUGGGUAAAUUUUCAUCAACAGUCGCAAGUCUUCGACUAUUUUUAACCAAAGAGACUAGUCUGAUUACAUUGUUCUUCAGAGAUCUGAAAAAUAGAAAACAAUAAUAAUGAUGGGUUAACAAAGUAACUAAAUUAACUACAUGUAAUGAAAACAAGAAGCAAUAAUGGAUUCCAUGAUCUAUAGAAGCACUGAAAGCUAAAAACCAAUAACAACAUUCUACUCUACUGUUCCAAAGGAUAAAAAAGGAAGAAAAAAGUAAAAAGAGAAAGAAAGAGCAAUUCUCUAAUCAUAAGAAAUCAUAAAAUAUUUAUUUGGAUUGUAGUAUAAAAGAACAAAGGAUUAAGUCACUAUUACCCCAAAUUCCUGAUUCCCAAACAAACAGGAAAAUUUAACAGAAUCCAACAUCAGUCAUCACUCCAAUCAUAAAAUAAAGCAGAAAGAAUAAGAAAAAAAAAUGAAGGAUUUACCAAUAUUUCUAAGAACGAAGGUUUAUAUUAAGGCAGAAUAACGGGGACCAUUUUCUAUAUUAAGCUUUUAAUAUCCACACAACAUGUAAAUUACAUAUAUCAUAAUAUUUAAGUACUAAAAAGCAAGUACCAGUAUGCUGCCUUUUCUUUUCAUAAG
rnacentral:lncRNA from 1 species